rnacentral:rRNA from 1 species
CAUGAAGCUGGAUUCGCUAGUAAUCGCGCAUCAGCCAUGGCGCGGUGAAUACGUUCCCGGGCCUUGUACACACCGCCCGUCAAGCCAUGGAAGCCGGGAGUGCCUGAAGUGUGCAACCGCAAGGAGCGCCCUAAGGUAAAACUGGUGACUGGGGCUAAGUCGUAACAAGGUAUC